rnacentral:rRNA from 1 species
CCUACGGGUGGCAGCAGUGGGGAAUAUUGCGCAAUGGGCGAAAGCCUGACGCAGCGACGCCGCGUGAGGGAUGAAGGUCUUCGGAUCGUAAACCUCUGUCAGCAGGGAAGAACGGUCACUGUGCUAAUCAGCAGUGAAUUGACGGUACCUGCAACGGAAGCACCGACUAACUCCGUGCCAGCAGCCGCGGUAAUACGGAGGGUUCGAGCGUUAAUCGGAAUUACUGGGCGUAAAGCGCUCGUAGGCGGCAAGUCAAGUCAAGGGUGAAAUCCCCGCGCUCAACGUGGGAACUGCCUUUGAAACUGGCAGACUGGAGUGUGGGAGAGGAUAGUGGAAUUCCAGGUGUAGGGGUGAAAUCCGUAGAUAUUUGGAGGAACAUCAGUGGCGAAGGCGACUAUCUGGCACAUAACUGACGCUGAGGAGCGAAAGCGUGGGUAGCAAACAGGAUUAGAUACCCUAGUAGUC